rnacentral:rRNA from 1 species
AUGUCUGUAGAUUUGGCCCACAAAAUAGUUUCGACUCUCAGAAGAUCUGAAAGAUGCAAGAACACCCGUGUAAUAUACAAUGAUGAUUCUGAAGAAGAUUCCAAGACUGAGAUAAUUUAUUCUGAAGAAGUUGCCUCUCCUUCACCCUCAGAAAUUAAUGUUGCUUCUGUUGAUAAUAACUCCGGUGAACAAGAUUCUCGCAGUGUGUCUCGUAAGGAUCGAAGAACUCGGUCUAAAGUUAAGAAUAAGAAGGCCCCAAAAACUAUUUCUCAAGGAUCUGGCACUAAGGAUCAGUCUCAGUGUGGGGGUCUUGGGGUUGAAAGAUCGAAUGAGGAAGUUGAUCUUGAUGAGCCUCUUAUUGCUUUGAAACAGAAGAAAGAAAAGAUACCCCCUUCUAAGGCAAAAAGAAAGACCGGUGCAUCAUCUUCUCCACAUGCUACAAAACUAGAUACAUCAACAAAGAGAGAUGAAAUUAGUCCUGUACAAACUUCCCUAUUCGAGUCAAAACUGCAUGACUUAGUGACACAGAAGCUUGGAAGAAGAGCUGUAGAUCAAGAGCACUCGAGAAUUGCUAUUGAACACACCUGUGACCAUUUAUCUGUUGUGCUGCCUCAGUUUCCCAUCGAAGAUAAUGAAUGUGGGCAGCAGCCUGGUUUCAUCACCCAACCAACUGAGCCAGAUGUUUCUGACGCCAAAGCGCAUUUGCAUGACGGUGUGGAACAAAAAAAGACUGAUAACAAUUUUUCUUCACUAGAUCCCAUUGAUGAAGUGAGCAACCAUCAGAAAUCUUUAGAUGAUAUAAUUAAUUACACAGAUGUGAGGUGCACAUCGGUGGUCAUGCAACCUGAUUCAUGUGGAAGCACAGGCAGGGUUUGCAGUUUGCAUGAGGAGGUUAUGCAGAUGCCGGUGGAGGGUCAAUUAGAUUCACUAGUCUGCCAUGGUGUGAAAACAAAGGAUAUAUUACUGCAUAUGAAUGUUGAACAAGCAGCCACAGGCUACAAUUUUGCUUUUGAUAGGACUCUUGAUUUGGCUCAUACUGCCAAUUUUGACACUCAAGAUGGGCGGUUAGAAAAUAUAGUUUAUGGUGCUCUGAAUAAUAAUGUGCAGCGGAAGUGUUUUGAAACAAAAACUUCUGUUGGAGUUCCUGAUUCAGUUGUGACUCUGAGCUCACCAAUUGCAGCAAAUGUUUCACAUGAUGGUUGCCUCUUACUUGCCAACAUGGAGGGGUCAUCAAAGGAUAUGGAUCAGUUAAGUGGUACAGUGAAUGCUGACAUUUGUAGAUCUGUUAAUGAUCAAGAAUCAAGAGAAGCUGGACAUGCAAUAUCAGAUAGCUCCACUAAUCCUGAAGAAACACAAGAAAUUUCUGAUGGGCAAACUAGGGCGUCUGAUUUUUUCAUUGACGAAGGAUCAAUUGAAGAUCAUACUCCAAAAAAACUGUUGUCCCAGAGAAAGAUUAUGUCACCAAGUUCUCAGGAGAAGUUUUGCAAUGCUUUGGCUGGUAUCGAUUUGUGUGGAGUCCAAAGGCUUGAGAGAAAGAUUAAUCUUGAAGAUUGUGAUGCAAGUAAUCAAGCAUUACCUCAGACAACAAACAAGCAAUACCGAUCUGUGUUAACCACAGACAGGAAACUUAAGAGCAGAACUUCUAUCUCCUUUACAAGCAAAGGAAUUCUUAAGUCAACAGAAUCCCCAUCUCCUCAGCUGACAAGUUCAUCUGUUCUUUUGGACACUGAGAAAGCUGUUGAGUUUUCACAAAGGCAGAUGCAUGAUAUAGAGAGCAUUGCAGCAAAUCUUAUCAGGAGCUUGAAGCACAUGAGAAGUUUAGUGGAUGAAAAUUUGUCAUCGGAAGCACAUUCUUUGCUUCCCAGUUCUAACACUGCCGAGAUGAGAGCCGCAUCCGAGGAUGCAUUAAAGGUGGAGAGAACUACAAGGAAAUGGUUGACAAUAAUGAACAAAGAUUGCAAUCGCUUUUGUAAAAUAUUGACACUAGAAGGAAAGAAGGCUGUUUUGCAUCCAGAAUUGCCGAGGAAACGUAGGAAGAUAACGUUCGCGGAUGAAGCUGGAGGAACGCUCUGCUAUGUUAAUGUGUUUAGUGAUGUACAGACCUCUCCUUCUGCAUGCGAGGGUGAGUUAUAA